UGAGACUUAUUUACAAUGGCU
rnacentral:siRNA from 1 species